rnacentral:rRNA from 1 species
GCUCAGAUUGAACGCUGGCGGCAGGCCUAACACAUGCAAGUCGAGCGGAAACGAGUUAUCUGAACCUUCGGGGAACGAUAACGGCGUCGAGCGGCGGACGGGUGAGUAAUGCCUAGGAAAUUGCCCUGAUGUGGGGGAUAACCAUUGGAAACGAUGGCUAAUACCGCAUAAUGCCUACGGGCCAAAGAGGGGGACCUUCGGGCCUCUCGCGUCAGGAUAUGCCUAGGUGGGAUUAGCUAGUUGGUGAGGUAAGGGCUCACCAAGGCGACGAUCCCUAGCUGGUCUGAGAGGAUGAUCAGCCACACUGGAACUGAGACACGGUCCAGACUCCUACGGGAGGCAGCAGUGGGGAAUAUUGCACAAUGGGCGCAAGCCUGAUGCAGCCAUGCCGCGUGUGUGAAGAAGGCCUUCGGGUUGUAAAGCACUUUCAGUCGUGCAGGAAGGUAGUGUAGUUAAUAGCCUGCAUUAUUUGACGUUAGCGACAGAAGAAGCACCGGCUAACUCCGUGCCAGCAGCCGCGGUAAUA